UACGGAGGGUGCAAGCGUUAUCCGGAAUCAUUGGGUUUAAAGGGUCCGUAGGCGGAAUAAUAAGUCAGUGGUGAAAGUCUGCAGCUUAACUGUAGAACUGCCAUUGAUACUGUAGAUCUUGAAUUAUUAUGAAGUGGUUAGAAUAUGUAGUGUAGCGGUGAAAUGCAUAGAUAUUACAUAGAAUACCGAUUGCGAAGGCAGAUCACUAAUAAUUUACUGACGCUGAGGGACGAAAGCGUAGGUAGCGAACAGG
rnacentral:misc_RNA from 1 species